UACCAACACCCCGAGUGGUCGGGACGAUUAUUGGGCCUAAAGCAUCCGUAGCCGGUCAUGCAAGUCUUCCGUUAAAUCCAGCCGCUCAACGGUUGGGCUGCGGAGGAUACUACGUGGCUAGGAGGCGGGAGAGGCAAGCGGUACUCAGUGGGUAGGGGUAAAAUCCUUUGAUCCAUUGAAGACCACCAGUGGCGAAGGCGGCUUGCCAGAACGCGCUCGACGGUGAGGGAUGAAAGCUGGGGGAGCAAACCGG
rnacentral:rRNA from 1 species